AGGUUGAUCUAUUACAUCUACGGCUGUUUUCCUGUAUUACUGCUACUUGUAAAUCUGUUGCAUGCUGAGGGCAGCUCUUGCCCGGCAUGCCUAAGAGAGGUUUAACUCAUUCACGUUCGUAUAUAUGCAUACAUCCCUGUAACUGUCCUGUGUUUGGCAGCUUCAUUGCUGCGGGGUAAGGAACUACAGCGACUGGACAACCACACAGUGGUUUAAUUCCACCGGUAACAACAGCGUGCCUCUGAGCUGCUGCAGGCAAGAUGUGAAGAACUGCACAGGGCGCCUGGAUCAGCCACAGGAACUCAAUACGCGGAGCUGUGCAGAGGAGCUGGAGUCUGGGCUGCAGAGCGUUAUCAGCUAUGCUAUGCUUGUAAUCCUGGGUUUUGCCAUUGUAAAGUUCUUCGGCAUGCUGAGUGUCUGCGUGCUUACCUGCAGGAGAGAAGACAGUGGAUAUCAGCCUCUUUACUCAGGGGUGUUUGCUUAAUAAAAUGCAAAGAUCACUUUUCUUUUGCUUCCUGAUGAUAAAAUAGACUUGUAAAGAUGACCGCUGAAGAACAAUGUAUCACCUUCUUGCUAAAUAUUUUAUUUGAUGUACGUGGAACAGAAAGAACGUUGUGUAUUGACUUGGGAAAGUUUCUUGCGGGUGAUGUGAAAUGGCAAUUUCAAUAUUCGGUGCCCUACAGUGAGGUACCUUGAUCUUGCAUGCCACAGCUUUCUGUAUGGUUAUCGUAGAUUUGGAUUUGUGACUUCAGACGGCACCAGGUGGCGUAAUGGACUCCAGAAACAAACUUACUUCUGCAGUUCUUUCCUCUACCCUUGAAACAUGCAGAAGAAACCUUAUUUUUAAUCACUAAACUGAUUGAGACCGCAGGAGGGGUUUCAGUUGUCUGCGCAAAUGCCGGGUCAUUCUAGGCAUGAUUAAACAGAAAAUGAAACUUUUGAACGCCAGGUUCAAAUAUUCUUCAUAAGCAUGGGGAGUUAGAGUAUGUUCUCUUUGUGUCUGAUGGUGUUUCUGGUUUUA